AAAAAUAACAAUUUUUUAUUUUUCACACAAAUUUUAUGAUCCACUCACGCCAAAACUCUCUCUAUAACAAACCAACCCAACCUCCAUGUUUGGCAAUCAAAAAUUAAAAAGGAAAAAAAUCAAUUGCAAAAGCAAAACCCUAAAUAUUCAUUUUUUUUGUUUUUCCAAUUCUAAUUCAAUUUAUGAUAAGGAUUAUCCUUUCUUCAAUAACCACCAAUCCCAUUUUUUUCUCUAUCUCAGACGAAUUUUCAGCUUUAUUUUCUCUGAUUACUUUUCUUUUUCCCAAUCUUCCAUACAAGACGACAAUCUAAUGGGAUUUGGGUCGAUUUUCAAUCGAAAAAAGAAGCGAUUUUCCUCUUCGAAUACCCCAAAUUCAACGGCUUCUCCAGCUGUUCCUUCCGAUGGAUCAUCGUUCCUUCAAUCUCCAAUGCGAACCCCAUCGAGAAAUUUUACACAAACCCAACUCCAAGAACUCGAAGAAGUCUUCAAAAAGUUCGACGUCAAUGGCGACGGCAAGAUCUCAUCAUCCGAACUGGGUUCCAUCAUGGGUUCCGUCGGCCAACAACCCUCCGAAGAAGAACUCCGGAAUAUGAUCAAAGAAUUCGACGCUGACGAUGACGGGUUCAUAAAUUUCAAGGAAUUCGUUGAGCUGAACACCAAAGGAGUCGACUCGGACGAGAUCUUGGAGAACCUGAAGGACGCUUUCUCGGUCUAUGACAGAGACGGGAAUGGUUCGAUUUCAGCUGAGGAGCUUCAUGAGGUUCUGAAAAGCCUGGGCGAUGAAUGUUCCAUCGAAGAAUGUAGGAAGAUGAUAAGUGGAGUAGAUAACGAUGGAGAUGGGAUGAUUGAUUUUGAAGAGUUUAAGGUUAUGAUGAUGGCUGACUCCAGGUAGCCUCAGAGAGGAGUUACUAUCAAAAAUCGAAUGACGAUUCUUCUCUUUUUGGAGGAGAUAGACCAUCAUCCUCUUGGCUUGGGUAAGUGCAGUUCGACCUCCUGAAGUGGGUCAGGAGGGAAGGUGGGUUGGUGCACAAGGCAGUCAAGAUAACCCAGUACACUACCUAUGGGUUAGGCCUCGUAGCUUCUGGAGAAAUCCCCAAAGGCUCUGAUCUUACCGUACUUCCUGCUGUGGCUGGCUCUGUCUUGCUCCAUUUGUCAAACCAGGUUCCUGAAAGAUGAAGAAAAGUGCCCUUGCUCCUGGCAGAAAAAUCCGCUGAAGUUAUGUUUCUUCUGGCCUGUUCAGUUUCAUGAGUCCUACGUUAUACCAACUUAGCCAACG